rnacentral:rRNA from 1 species
CAGCCGCCGCGGUAAUACGUAGGGUGCAAGCGUUAAUCGGAAUUACUGGGCGUAAAGCGUGCGCAGGCGGUUUGUUAAGACAGAUGUGAAAUCCCCGGGCUUAACCUGGGAACUGCAUUUGUGACUGGCGAGCUAGAGUAUGGCAGAGGGGGGUAGAAUUCCACGUGUAGCAGUGAAAUGCGUAGAGAUGUGGAGGAAUACCGAUGGCGAAGGCAGCCCCCUGGGCCAAUACUGACGCUCAUGCACGAAAGCGUGGGGAGCAAACAGGAUUAGAUACCCCAGUAGUCCCUGUCUCUUAUAC